CAGUCGAACGAGUUCUCGUUGAUGAUCGGUGCUUGCACCGAGAUUCAACAUGGAACGAGUGGCGGACGGGUGAGUAACACGUGGGUAACCUGCCCUUAAGUGGGGGAUAACAUUUGGAAACAGAUGCUAAUACCGCAUAGAUCCAAGAACCGCAUGGUUCUUGGCUGAAAGAUGGCGUAAGCUAUCGCUUUUGGAUGGACCCGCGGCGUAUUAGCUAGUUGGUGAGGUAAUGGCUCACCAAGGCGAUGAUACGUAGCCGAACUGAGAGGUUGAUCGGCCACAUUGGGACUGAGACACGGCCCAAACUCCUACGGGAGGCAGCAGUAGGGAAUCUUCCACAAUGGACGCAAGUCUGAUGGAGCAACGCCGCGUGAGUGAAGAAGGCUUUCGGGUCGUAAAACUCUGUUGUUGGAGAAGAAUGGUCGGCAGAGUAACUGUUGCCGGCGUGACGGUAUCCAACCAGAAAGCCACGGCUAACUACGUGCCAGCAGCCGCGGUAAUACGUAGGUGGCAAGCGUUAUCCGGAUUUAUUGGGCGUAAAGCGAGCGCAGGCGGUUUUUUAAGUCUGAUGUGAAAGCCCUCGGCUUAACCGAGGAAGCGCAUCGGAAACUGGGAAACUUGAGUGCAGAAGAGGACAGUGGAACUCCAUGUGUAGCGGUGAAAUGCGUAGAUAUAUGGAAGAACACCAGUGGCGAAGGCGGCUGUCUGGUCUGUAACUGACGCUGAGGCUCGAAAGCAUGGGUAGCGAACAGGAUUAGAUACCCUGGUAGUCCAUGCCGUAAACGAUGAAUGCUAGGUGUUUGGAGGGUUUCCGCCCUUCAGUGCCGCAGCUAACGCAUUAAGCAUUCCGCCUGGGGAGUACGAC
rnacentral:rRNA from 1 species